CGUGAUUAUACAGAUGUGGGAAACGCCUUGCUCCAUUCCGAACCAAGAAGCUAAGCACAUCGUGGGUGAUGAUACUACGCCUUACUGGCAGGGG
rnacentral:rRNA from 1 species